CAGGGAAUCUUGCGCAAUGGGCGAAAGCCUGACGCAGCGACACCGCGUGGGGGAUGAAGGCUUUCGAGUUGUAAACCCCUUUUCUCGGGGAAGAGAAAGGACGGUACCCGAGGAAUAAGGUUCGGCUAACUACGUGCCAGCAGCCGCGGUAAUACGUAGGAACCGAGCGUUGUCCGGAUUUACUGGGCGUAAAGUGCGCGUAGGCGGUCCGUUAAGUCUCAUGUGAAAUCUCCCGGCUCAACUGGGAGGGGUCAUGGGAUACUGGCAGACUUGAGUGCAGCAGAGGGGAGUGGAAUUCCCGGAGUAGUGGUGGAAUGCGUAGAUACCGGGAGGAACACCAGAGGCGAAGGCGACUCCCUGGGCUGUGUCUGACGCUGAGGCGCGAAAGCGUGGGUAGCAAACCGGAUUAGAUACCCCCGUAGUCC
rnacentral:rRNA from 1 species